UGCUGGGCGGAUCAGUGGCGAACGGGUGAGUAACACGUGAGUAACCUGCCCCAGACUCCGGGAUAAGCCUUGGAAACGAGGUCUAAUACUGGAUAUGAGAUGCCCCUGCAUGGGGAGUGUCUGGAAAGAUUUAUCGGUCUGGGAUGGACUCGCGGCCUAUCAGCUUGUUGGUGGGGUAAUGGCCUACCAAGGCGACGACGGGUAGCCGGCCUGAGAGGGCGACCGGCCACACUGGGACUGAGACACGGCCCAGACUCCUACGGGAGGCAGCAGUGGGGAAUAUUGCACAAUGGGCGAAAGCCUGAUGCAGCGACGCCGCGUGAGGGAUGAAGGCCUUCGGGUUGUAAACCUCUUUCAGCAGGGAAGAAGCGCAAGUGACGGUACCUGCAGAAGAAGCGCCGGCUAACUACGUGCCAGCAGCCGCGGUAAUACGUAGGGCGCAAGCGUUGUCCGGAAUUAUUGGGCGUAAAGAGCUCGUAGGCGGUUUGUCGCGUCUGGUGUGAAAACUCAAGGCUCAACCUUGAGCUUGCAUCGGGUACGGGCAGACUAGAGUGCGGUAGGGGUGACUGGAAUUCCUGGUGUAGCGGUGGA
rnacentral:rRNA from 1 species